AUUGAACGCUGGCGGCAGGCCUAACACAUGCAAGUCGAGCGGGGUUUUCGGACCUAGCGGCGGACGGGUGAGUAAUGCGUAGGAAGCUACCCGAUAGAGGGGGAUACCAGUUGGAAACGACUGUUAAUACCGCAUAAUGUCUACGGACCAAAGUGUGGGACCUUCGGGCCACAUGCUAUCGGAUGCGCCUACGUGGGAUUAGCUAGUUGGUGAGGUAAUGGCUCACCAAGGCGACGAUCUCUAGCUGGUUUGAGAGGAUGAUCAGCCACACGGGCACUGAGACACGGGCCCGACUCCUACGGGAGGCAGCAGUAAGGAAUAUUGGACAAUGGACGCAAGUCUGAUCCAGCCAUCCCGCGUGGAGGAAUAAGGCCCUAUGGGUUGUAAACCGCUUUUGUCAGGGAAGAAUGGACGGGAUUUAUCCUGUUAGGGACGGUACCUGAAGAAUAAGCACCGGCUAACUCCGUG
rnacentral:rRNA from 1 species